CAUAUAAAGGCUUUUUUUUUUUCCUCUCUUGGGAGUCCUUUUGUUAGAGUUUUUGUAGAGAUUUAUUUUGGUAACGGAGAGGGGUCAUUUUCAAGGAUCUAUUUUGGUACAAUUUGGAGAGUUAAAUUUCUCAGUUUGCGUGCUUUGGCUUCUCUAUGGUUGAAGCAUUAGCCUUCAAAGUGGAUUUUCAUUCAAUUAAAGGCAAACUUGUUUCUUCUCUCUCAAGCUUUUCAUCACAUUUCUGGUCCUGACCCAGUUUCUGAUUUUGGAAGUUGAAAAGGUUUGGCUAUCUGGGCAGCAACUUUUUGUGAAGAAAUUAUGUGAUGAGCUGUUUCAAGGCUUUUGUUAAAGGAGGUAAAGAAGAAAAGAAGGUUUGAAUUUCUGAUGCCUUAACAUCCAAGGAAAGGCUUGGUGCCGUGAACUUCACUCUGCUUGAAAGCUUGGGAUUUUGGAAUUGGAAUCUCUUGACUCCUGUACUAGAUUAUCCUAACAGCAUUGUGAGUUCAAGGCAUAAGGAAUUUAGCUCUAUCCCAGCUCAGAUUAGUAAGGAACACUUUUUUUUUUUUUUUUUUUUAUAAAAAGAACC